UACGUAGGGUGCGAGCGUUGUCCGGAAUUAUUGGGCGUAAAGAGCUCGUAGGCGGUUUGUCGCGUCGGCCGUGAAAACUUGGGGCUUAACCCCAAGCCUGCGGUCGAUACGGGCAGACUUGAGUUCGGCAGGGGAGACUGGAAUUCCUGGUGUAGCGGUGAAAUGCGCAGAGUAUCAGGAGGAACACCGGUGGCGAAGGCGGGUCUCUGGGCCGAUACUGACGCUGAGGAGCGAAAGCGUGGGGAGCGAACAGG
rnacentral:rRNA from 1 species